rnacentral:rRNA from 1 species
GAACGGUGAUGACCAGCUUGCUGGUCGGAUCAGUGGCGAACGGGUGAGUAACACGUGAGUAACCUGCCCCAGACUCUGGGAUAAGCCUUGGAAACGAGGUCUAAUACUGGAUAUGAGAUGCCCCUGCAUGGGGAGUGUCUGGAAAGAUUUAUCGGUCUGGGAUGGACUCGCGGCCUAUCAGCUUGUUGGUGGGGUAAUGGCCUACCAAGGCGACGACGGGUAGCCGGCCUGAGAGGGCGACCGGCCACACUGGGACUGAGACACGGCCCAGACUCCUACGGGAGGCAGCAGUGGGGAAUAUUGCACAAUGGGCGCAAGCCUGAUGCAGCGACGCCGCGUGAGGGAUGAAGGCCUUCGGGUUGUAAACCUCUUUCAGCAGGGAAGAAGCGCAAGUGACGGUACCUGCAGAAGAAGCGCCGGCUAACUACGUGCCAGCAGCCGCGGUAAUACGUAGGGCGCAAGCGUUGUCCGGAAUUAUUGGGCGUAAAGAGCUCGUAGGCGGUUUGUCGCGUCUGGUGUGAAAACUCAAGGCUCAACCUUGAGCUUGCAUCGGGUACGGGCAGACUAGAGUGCGGUAGGGGUGACUGGAAUUCCUGGUGUAGCGGUGGAAUGCGCAGAUAUCAGGAGGAACACCGAUGGCGAAGGCAGGUCACUGGGCCGCAACUGACGCUGAGGAGCGAAAGCAUGGGGAGCGAACAGGAUUAGAUACCCUGGUAGUCCAUGCCGUAAACGUUGGGCACUAGGUGUGGGGCUCAUUCCACGAGUUCCGUGCCGCAGCAAACGCAUUAAGUGCCCCGCCUGGGGAGUACGGCCGCAAGGCUAAAACUCAAAGGAAUUGACGGGGGCCCGCACAAGCGGCGGAGCAUGCGGAUUAAUUCGAUGCAACGCGAAGAACCUUACCAAGGCUUGACAUACACCGGAAACUUCCAGAGAUGGUUGCCCCGCAAGGUCGGUGUACAGGUGGUGCAUGGUUGUCGUCAGCUCGUGUCGUGAGAUGUUGGGUUAAGUCCCGCAACGAGCGCAACCCUCGUCUUAUGUUGCCAGCACGUCAUGGUGGGGACUCAUAAGAGACUGCCGGGGUCACUCGGAGGAAGGUGGGGAUGACGUCAAAUC